UUGUUUUGAUACUAUAUGGUUACAUGAGGUACAAGUGUCCUUUAUUUUGUUACAUGGUGCACAUGGGAGACGGGAUAGAAAUUAACAACACUAGCUACUGUUUUCAUCUGCUUCUCAUUCCCCAUGCAGCUACACAGUGGGGACCCUGCAUAAAGUUUGUUAAUGCCCACCGGGAUCAUCUGGGAGUCUUCCAUAGAGGUCUCUAGGAAACUUUCCCGAAGGUACUCUGCAAUCCUCUGCCAGAUGUUCCUUGUCAGAGCUACUUGGUUUCCUCCCUCCAUUUUAGGAACCUUUGCCGUUCCAGUCAGCAGUUACUUCUGCAGGAACCAAAGCAGUGCACAGGCAAGCAGCGUGUGGACUCAGUCUGAAGCCGCACACAUGCAGGAGAUGCCCCUUGCAUCCUUGGUUACCCUCAGUAGUGAGAUAUCAGCUUCAAUCACCCACAUCUUGGAAGAUGGUGCCAGUAUUCAGAAUAGUGUCCCCAGAGGUGCCCUUUAGGACCAGCUCCUACACACCAGUGUAGCGCCUCCAUCAGACAAGCAGGUGAACAAGGAGUAAGGAGGACAUGUUUUGGGAAGUGCUGCAAUCGUCAGAUCUUACAGAUAGCGAGCACGAAGUGUAGAGAGAGACAAUAAAUGAGAAACUAGAAAUGGAUACCCAGGAGAGGAGGCAGGGCAGGAACAGAUAAUAGAGGGUCAAAGGAACAGAUAUAAAGUUCACAGAGGAGCAAACAGCUGCUCAGGUCCCUGACUGUGCUACAGUUGAAACAUCCGUGCUAGAGUCCCCCAGGUGCCCAUACAGAACUGCAUUCCAUGCCCUCCACAAACUCUCCCCACGCAUUCCUCACAUGUCUCUGGCCCUUGCACUCCACUCCUAGGGACAUGUUCCAUAGUGACAGCUGGACUUACAUGCAGCUGUGGGAUUCUCAUUUCAGAGAGUGCUGCUCAGUGUCAUGUCUCCUGUAAGAAAUGUAAAUCUGUGUAUUGCUGUUUAAUAAAAACGUAGUCUUACAAGA